ensembl:lncRNA
AUUUCUACUCUAUAGUUUUGGAGAAAAUUAAUGGCAAAUUCACCCCAAAGAUGCUUUGGGUGAAUUUGGCUUUAGUUUUCUCCAAAAGAAUAGAGUAAAAAUAUUUGAUACUUAAUACAGUAAUCAUUAGGAUCACUAAGAAUAGGAAUCAACUGAAAGAACAAGCAAACCUAUAAAGCAAAGAAUUUUAUGAGUGUUUGAAAAUGUGACAUGGUGUAAAAGUGCUUAUACACUUGGAUGCUUGGGGUGAAUUUGCCAUUAAUUUUCUCCAAAACUAUAGAGUAGAAAU